CUAAUGAGCAAGGAUUCGAUCAAAAUUCUCAGAAAAUCAACAAUCUUUUCAUCUAAUGGACGCAUUAAGAAUUUUAUACCUCAAGCAUCCUACUCUUCUUCUUCUUCUUCUUCUUCUUUUACAAACCAUAUCCAAUUCCAAAUCUAAACCUCUCUCAAACCCGCUUUACCAUCUCCUUCCUGAAACCAAAAACCCCAACAACAUAGUCAAUAUCAUUUACUCAUCCCUCAAACAAGAUAAUACCCGGC
rnacentral:misc_RNA from 1 species